UACGGGGGGGCAAGCGUUAUUCAAUUAACUGGGCGUAAAGCGUCUGUAGGCGGCAAGUUCGUUAUUCGGUAAAUAUGAAAGUUGACACUUUCAACAACGGGUAAACGUGCUUGCUAGAGUCAUAGAGGAGGUAGUAGAAUUCUGAAGUAGGGAUGAAAUCCAAUCACAUCAGGAGGAAUACCAAGGGCGAAGGCAACUAUCUGGCUAUGACUGACGCUCAGAGACGAAGGCAUGGGGAGCAAAUGGG
rnacentral:rRNA from 1 species